AUAACAAAAACAAACACACAAAAAAUAGUGUUAGUGAGUGAGAGAAGAGAAAGAGCUCGUGGGAGAGUGAAGAGAAGCAAGGGAAGGAAGAGUUUAACCUCAAUAUAGGGAAUUCACUGCACUCCAAAUUUUCAGGUAGGAGACGAAUCAUAGAUGGUGUGUUCGGAUAGCUGUUGCUUUGCUAUUUAUUUGGAGUCGCUCUGUUAGGAUGUUGUUGGGAGAAACCUUUAUUUAAUUAUGUUGUUAAAUUUUUAUAACAAUUGAGUUAUGUCACUUGAUUCAGUAUUUUCAAUUCGGACUUUGAAACUUAUAUUAUUUUUGUAUUUUCCGCUGCAUGAUUUUUAAUCAUUUGAGGAAUUA